rnacentral:rRNA from 1 species
UAGGGAAUCUUGCGCAAUGGGCGAAAGCCUGACGCAGCCAUGCCGCGUGAAUGAUGAAGGUCUUAGGAUUGUAAAAUUCUUUCACCGGGGAAGAUAAUGACGGUACCCGGAGAAGAAGCCCCGGCUAACUUCGUGCCAGCAGCCGCGGUAAUACGAAGGGGGCUAGCGUUGCUCGGAAUUACUGGGCGUAAAGGGCGCGUAGGCGGAUGUUUAAGUCGGGGGUGAAAGCCCGGGGCUCAACCUCGGAAUUGCCUUCGAUACUGGACAUCUUGAGUACGGGAGAGGUGAGUGGAACUCCGAGUGUAGAGGUGAAAUUCGUAGAUAUUCGGAAGAACACCAGUGGCGAAGGCGACUCACUGGCCCGUUACUGACGCUGAGGCGCGAAAGCGUGGGGAGCAAACAGGAUUAGAUACCCUGGUAGUCCACGCCGUAAACGAUGAGUGCUAGUUGUCGGCAUGCAUGCAUGUCGGUGACGCAGCUAACGCAUUAAGCACUCCGCCUGGGGAGUACGGUCGCAAGAUUAAAACUCAAAUGAAUUGACGGGGUCAUAGCUGUUUCCU